rnacentral:sRNA from 1 species
AGUGUAUUUUGUCUCUUAUAU